UACGAAGGGGGCUAGCGUUGCUCGGAAUCACUGGGCGUAUAGGGUGCGUAGGCGGGUCUUUAAGUCAGGGGUGAAAUCCUGGAGCUCAACUCCAGAACUGCCUUUGAUACUGAGGAUCUUGAGUUCGGGAGAGGUGAGUGGAACUGCGAGUGUAGAGGUGAAAUUCGUAGAUAUUCGCAAGAACACCAGUGGCGAAGGCGGCUCACUGGCCCGAUACUGACGCUGAGGCACGAAAGCGUGGGGAGCAAACAGG
rnacentral:rRNA from 1 species